rnacentral:rRNA from 1 species
CAAUAGCGUAUAUUUAAGUUGUUGCAGUUAAAAAGCUCGUAGUUGGAUUUCGGAUGGGAUUUGCCGGUCCGUCGUUACGAUGUGCACUGGCCAGUCCUAUCUUGUUGUCGGGGACUAGCUCCUUGGAUUCACUUCCUGGGACUAGGAGCUGACGAGGUUACUUUGAGUAAAUUAGAGUGUUCAAAGCAAGCCUACGCUCUGAAUACAUUAGCAUGGAAUAACACGAUAGGACUCUGGCUUAUCUUGUUGGUCUGUGAGACCAGAGUAAUGAUUAAGAGGGACAGUCGGGGACAUUCGUAUUUCAUUGUCAGAGGUGAAAUUCUUGGAUUUAUGAAAGACGAACUUCUGCGAAAGCAUUUGUCAAGGAUGUUAUCAUUAA